rnacentral:rRNA from 1 species
GACGAACGCUGGCGGCGUGCUUAACACAUGCAAGUCGAGCGGAGCCGCUAACGGGUGAGUAGCGGGUGAAUAAUUACCCCCCUCUCUGGGAGAACAGUUGGAAACGGCGGCUAAUACCGGAUAGUGGGGGAUGAUUCGCGUCCUACCUGCUUGUUGGUGGGGUAGUGGCUUACCAAGGCGACGGAGGAUAGGCGGCCCGAGGGGGCGCCCGGCCACACAGGGCUGAGCGACACACGAAACACGUACGGGAGGCAGGAGGGGGGAAUAAUGCAUAAGGGGGGAAACCAUGUUGCACGAACGCCGGGUGCGGGAUGACGGACUUCGGGUUGUGAACAGCUUUCAUCCAUGAGGCGGUAGUGGAAGAAGAAGCACCGGCUAACUACGUGCCAGCAGCCGCGGUAAUAC